AAAGGAGGCCCUUUUUUCAUUUCCGGCUCUCUUGUUCUUUCUGUCCAGUUGCUGCCCACUAUACAUAUCACAUUCCCCUCUUCCCUUUCUCUCAUAAUUUGACACAAGAAAGAAAAAGUUUCCAAUUAGUUUCCCCAGAGAUUAAUAAGGUGGCGACAACAACGACUGUUGCCGCUGAAAAGAACGGCCGCCGCAGAUUAGGAGAAGGAGGAGAGGCUACUACUACACGAAGCGGUCUUCUCCCAGAGUUCAUUUCGUCGUUGAUUUCUAGAGUGUUCGGCCAAAAUCAAGAAGUAGAAGAGGUGGAA
rnacentral:lncRNA from 1 species